AUAUAAUUUGCUGUUUCAUCAUCGUCGACACGCCUGUGUUUCCCGUUCAUUCCCGCAUACUUUUCUUCCCGAAACUUCUGCAUUUAGAGACGGACGAUCCUGCUUCCCCAAAUCUCUUUCUUCAAUAUUCCAGAUUUGUUACAAAGUGUCUCUGUCGUAUUGGUCAAUAAAAAACCAGACCACUUCAUGAUGAUGGCGGCGGCGGCGGUGAGACGUCGAGGUUCAGAAGCCUUUUUUAUUGGGGCCCAAAUUCAGCGAUGUCAAAUGAAAAUAAUGGGUAUGAUUCUUCUUCUAUCUCCAACCACUUUAUCACUGUUGUCUUCCAACCACUCCAACUCCAUUUCUUCCUCUAGCAGUAGCAGUAGAUAUAAACACAGCAAUGAUGCUUCUUUAUUUAGAAACAUUGAUGACGCCCUUUCUUCUUUCAAUCACAUGCUUCAUAGGAAACCCCUGCCUUGUAUCAUCCAAUUCAAUAAAUUAUUAUCUGCAAUUGUCAAAAUGAGACAGUAUUACGAUGCUGUGAUUUCUCUUUCCAAACAAAUGGAAUUAGCUGGCCUCUCUCCUAAUACUUAUACCCUUAAUAUGUUGAUUAAUUGCUUCUGCCAGUUGCAACGUAUUGAUCUUGGGUUCUCUGUCUUGGCCAAAGGCAUUAAACUUGGUCUUCAACCCACUAUUGUUACAUUUAACACCUUAACCAAUGGGCUCUGUAAAGUGGGUAAAUUUUCCCAAGCCGCGGAAUUAUUUGAUGACAUGGUGGCAAGAGGGUGUCAACCUAAUGUCCACACUUAUAAUACAAUUAUCAAUGGCUUAUGUAAGAUCGGGGAAACUGCUGCUGCUGCUAGAUUGUUUAAGAAAAUGGAAGAGGCAGGCUGCCAGCCUAAUGUGGUGACAUACAGUACACUCAUUGACGGUCUUCGCAAAGAUAGGCGGGUGAAUGAGGCUUUAGAUAUCUUCUCUUAUAUGAAGGCUAAAGGCAUUUCCCCUGAUAUUUUCACUUACACCUCUUUAAUCAAGGGCUUAUGCAAUUCCAGCCGAUGGAAGGACGCUUCAGCAAUGCUAAAUGAAAUGAGGAGUUUGAAUAUCAUGCCAGAUAGUGUCAUCUUCAACGUGCUAAUUAAUACAUUUUGUAAAGAAGGCAAGGUUUCACAGGCUCAAGGUGUGUUAAAAACAAUGACUGAAAUGGGUGUGGAGCCUGAUGUUGUUACUUACAGCUCAUUGAUGUAUGGAUAUUCCUUGUGUAUGGAAGUUGUUGAAGCUAGAAAGCUUUUUGAUGUCAUGAUAACCAAGGGUUAUAAACCUGAUGUUUUUUGUUAUAACAUCUUAAUUAACGGAUAUUGUAAGGCCACAAGGAUAGAUAAGGCCAAGCAACUUUAUAAUGAAAUGAUUCUUCAAGGCUUAACUCCGGACAAAGUUACUUACAACACCCUUAUUCAUGGCUUGUGCCAAUUAGGCAGGCUUAGAGAAGCACAAGAUCUUUUCAAGAAUAUGCACAAGAAUGGCAACCUCCCAGAUUUAUUUGCUUACUCAAUAUUGCUCGAUGGCCUUUGCAAACAAGGGUAUCUUGGAAAGGCAUUCAGAUUGUUUCGAGCAAUGCAAAGUUCCUCCUUGAAGCCUGAUCUGGUGAUGUAUAACAUCCUGGUUGAUGCCAUGUGCAAAUCCGGGAAUCUUAAAGAUGCAAGGGAACUGUUUUCAGAACUCUUUGUCAAAGGGUUGCAGCCUAAUGUUCAGAUAUACACUACAAUAAUAAAUGGACUUUGUAAAGAAGGAUUGUUAGAUGAAGCAUUGGAAGCUUUCCGAAAUAUGGAAGAGGAUGGCUGCCCUCCAGAUGAAUUUUCUUAUAAUGUUAUUAUCCGAGGAUUUCUCCAGCACAAGGAUGAAUCAAGGGCAGUGCAUCUUAUUGGUGAAAUGAGAGACAGAGGUUUCAUUGCAGAUGCGGGGACCACAACGUGGUAGAAAAUCUGUUAUCUAAUGAAGACAAUCCUGUUCUGAAGAAGUAUCUAGGCUUACUUGAAUCUCGUCAAGGUGAAAAGGUGGAUGCUACCCCCAAUUCUGCAAAUGAGAAACAAAUAAAUACGCAAGCAGCCCUAAGGGGAAGCGCAGCAAGUUGAGUGGAGUAAGAUUCAGACACCUACUGAUGAAGUAGUGGUUCCCUUUGGGACAAGAUGUUGUUUUGAAGCUUAA